rnacentral:rRNA from 1 species
GACGAACGCUGGCGGCGUGCUUAACACAUGCAAGUCGAGCGGAAAGGCCCUUCGGGGUACUCGAGCGGCGAACGGGUGAGUAACACGUGAGUAACCUGCCCCAGACUUUGGGAUAACCCUCGGAAACGGGGGCUAAUACCGGAUACGACACAGCUUCGCAUGGGGUCUGUGUGGAAAGUUUUUCGGUUUGGGAUGGGCUCGCGGCCUAUCAGCUUGCUGGUGGGGUGCUGGCCUACCAAGGCGACGACGGGUAGCCGGCCUGAGAGGGCGACCGGCCACACUGGGACUGAGACACGGCCCAGACUCCUACGGGAGGCAGCAGGGGGGAAUAUUGCACAAUGGGCGGAAGCCUGAUGCAGCGACGCCGCGUGAGGGAUGACGGCCUUCGGGUUGUAAACCUCUUUCAGCAGGGACGAAGCGUAAGUGACGGUACCUGCAGAAGAAGCGCCGGCCAACUACGUG